AAUUAAUUAAUUAAUUAAUUUUGUUUAUCUUCUUCUGGGAUUUGUAAGGAGUUGGAGGAGGGUACGAUCAUAUCUUGUAGAAGGCCAUGGUCUUGGAAAGAAUCAGAAUUAGAACAAGUUAUUCCAUCAAUACGACGACGUUCAUCACCACCAAAACUAUGAAACACGGGAUCAAACACUCGGCCGCACGUGACAACGUCCACAGGCGGCGCCGGAGCGUACGUAUAUUGCUGAUGGUGGUUUCGGAAUAAUUGCGGCUGUGGGAAAACAAGCGGCGGUUGGGGUGAGGCGAAGGCAGCGGCGCCGGCUGAUGUAGCUCCACGUGGCAUGAUUGGACUUUGAUGAGUGUGUUGGCCUUCGUAAGUGGUGACGACGACGGAAGGGUCGUCCGAGGAUCGUUCGACUCGUUUUUUGACGCCGCAGCCGGCGGUGGUGCAACGGUAAUAACUUCUUGGAUAAGGGCUGUUUUUAACGGCUUUUUGACCGUAUUUUCGCCAUCUGUAACCGUCGUCUAGAUGAUCCACUUCGCUCUUUGUCAUGAACGCAAAUCUCGGUUCUCUUCCCCUUUUUUGAUUUUUCUUUUUUGCUUUCAACUGUUUGUUGAAAGGCGAUUUAUCCCGAUCGGCAUCAUCGGCGUCGAGAAGGCGUUCGGUGGAGGAGCAAGAGACGGAGGAGGAGUUAGGAGUGGGAGGAGUAUUGAGGACUUCGGAUGACUCAGGCACGGCGGAGGAGGAGGG
rnacentral:misc_RNA from 1 species